rnacentral:lncRNA from 1 species
UAUUCCUCCAAAUCCAAGUCAUCUGUAGAACUAUUUAUUUCAAAUCGCCCUCUCCUCCCACUUGAUGGCAAUCACAAGCAUCAAUCAAACGUCCCUUUACCUCUCAAUCCCAUGCAUGAAAGCAUUGAAUAGGGCUCCCUCCUUGCCUCCUUCGCAGGAAAACUAAAGGAACCAUCCAAUGCCCACUUCACCUCGCUCCUACAAAACCGCAUCAACG